UACGUGCCAGCAGCCGCGGUAACACGUAAGGUGCGAGCGUUGUUCGGAAUUAUUGGGCGUAAAGGGCAUGUAGGCGGAUGAGCAAGCUUGGUGUGAAAUGCUACAGCUUAACUGUGGGACAGCAUUGAGAACUGCACAUCUUGAAUUACUGAAGGGUAACUAGAAUUCCACGUGUAGGGGUGAAAUCUGUAGAUAUGUGGAAGAAUACCAAUGGCGAAGGCAAGUUACCGGCAGAUAAUUGACGCUGAGGUGCGAAAGUGCGGGGAGCGAACAGGAUUAGAUACCCUGGUAGUCCGCACAGUAAACGAUGUACACUAGGUGUCUGGCAACAAAGCUGGGUGCCAAAGCAAACGUGGUAAGUGUACCGCCUGGGGAGUAUGCCCGCAAGGGUGAAACUCAAAGGAAUUGACGGGGGCCCGCACAAGCGGUGGAGCAUGUGGUUUAAUUCGAUGGUACGCGAGGAACCUUACCUGGGUUUGACAUAGUACUUAAGUUCGUAGAGAUACGGA
rnacentral:rRNA from 1 species